CCGAGAAUCUUCCGCAAUGGGGCAACCCUGACGGAGCGACGCCGCGUGUAGGAUGAAGGUCUUCGGAUUGUAAACUACUGUCAGCAGGGAAGAAUAGGCGCUUGGUUAAUAACCAGGCGUCAUGACGGUACCUGCAGAGGAAGCCACGGCUAACUUCGUGCCAGCAGCCGCGGUAAUACGAAGGUGGCUAGCGUUGUUCGGAUUUAUUGGGCGUAAAGGGUCCGUAGGCGGUUUGAUAAGUCAGGUGUGA
rnacentral:rRNA from 1 species